rnacentral:rRNA from 1 species
AGGGAAGUAAAAGUCGUAACAAGGUCUCCGUUGGUGAACCAGCGGAGGGAUCAUUACCGAGUUAUACAACUCCCAAACCCACUGUGAACCUUACCUCAGUUGCCUCGGCGGGAACGCCCCGGCCGCCUGCCCCCGCGCCGGCGCCGGACCCAGGCGCCCGCCGCAGGGACCCCAAACUCUCUUGCAUUACGCCCAGCGGGCGGAAUUUCUUCUCUGAGUUGCACAAGCAAAAACAAAUGAAUCAAAACUUUCAACAACGGAUCUCUUGGUUCUGGCAUCGAUGAAGAACGCAGCGAAAUGCGAUAAGUAAUGUGAAUUGCAGAAUUCAGUGAAUCAUCGAAUCUUUGAACGCACAUUGCGCCCGCCAGCAUUCUGGCGGGCAUGCCUGUUCGAGCGUCAUUUCAACCCUCGAGCCCCCCCCGGGGGCCUCGGUGUUGGGGGACGGCACACCAGCCGCCCCCGAAAUGCAGUGGCGACCCCGCCGCAGCCUCCCCUGCGUAGUAGCACACACCUCGCACCGGAGCGCGGAGGCGGUCACGCCGUAAAACGCCCAACUUUCUUAGAGUUGACCUCGGAUCAGGUAGGAAUACCCGCUGAACUUAAGCAUAUCAAUAAGCGGAGGAG